ACCAAACCCCCCCCCCCCCCCCGCUCGGUGGAAUCGGUUGCUCGAACCCUAGCCCCUCCAAUGGACGACCACCAAACCCAGGAUCUCGUCAAGGAGCUCGUCCACCGCCUCAUCUCCGCCGAAUCCGGCGGCGGCGGGAGGGAUGCGGGGGGCGCGCUGCGGUUCGCGCACCGGCUGCUCUCGAGCCGCCUCGCGCCAGCCGUCCUCCCCGACGAGCACGCGCUCGCGGAGUCCGUCAAGCGCCGCCUCGCCGCGUCGGGCCGCCCCGACGACGCGCUCGCCUUCGCCGACCUCCACGCCAAGCUCUCCGCCAGGUCGCGCCCGGCGUCGCUCUGGCCGCUCCUCUACCUGCUCGACUCGCUCUCCUCCCACCGCCGCGCCGCCGCCGCCGCGUCCUGCCUUCCCAACCUCCCCACGGCCGCGCCCCCGCGCGCCGCGGGCUCGGGGGCGGCGGCGGCGGCGGCGGCGGCAGGGGGGAAGCCGGCCUCGCGGGCGCCCGGGGCCCCGCCCGGCGGCGUGGUGCUGGUCUCCAAGGAUCCCGACAACAUCCGCGAGAUCGCGCUGCGGGAGUACACCGAGCUGGUGCUCGACGAGACGGAGGUGUCGGAGGCGGCGCUCGUGCGCGACGUGCUGUACGCGUGCCAGGGGAUCGACGGCCGGUACGUGCGGUUCGACAAGGGCAGCGACGCGUACGACCUCCCCGACGGCGUCCGCGUGCCGCGCUCCACGCGCACCCUGGUGCGCAAGCUAUGCGAGCUGGGGUGGCUGUUCCGCAAGGUGCGGGGGUUCAUCUCCGACAACAUCAGUCGCUCUCCCUCCGAUGCUGCCACCGAGGUCGGCACCGUUGCUCAGGCCUUCUGCUCCGCUCUACAGGAGGAGCUCUCUGAUUACUAUAAGCUCCUCGCCGUUCUCGAGUCUUACUCGCUGAAUCCGAUUCCUACGCCUGGAUCUGAUUCAGGGGUGUCUGGUAAUUACCUCUCUCUGCGGCGUCUUGCAGUUUGGCUAGCUGAGCCUGCGGUGAGGAUGCGCCUAAUGGCGGUUUUGGUUGAUGGAUGCCGGGGUUUGAGAGGUGGCGCAAUGGCUGGUGCGAUCCAUGGGCACGCACAGCAUGGGGAUCCCACCUUCCAGGAUUUUAUGGGCCGCUUGCUGCGGCGGGUGUGCUCACCGCUGUUUGAAAUGGUCCGAAGCUGGGUGUUAGAAGGGGAGUUGGAGGAUGUGUUUGCAGAAUUCUUCAUUGUUGGGCAGCCAGUCAAGGCUGAGUCUCUGUGGCAGGAGGGCUAUCUUCUUCAGUCUGAUAUGCUUCCAGCUUUCAUUUCUCCAGUACUGGCGCAAAGGAUUCUUAGAACCGGGAAGUCAAUCAACUUUCUUAAAGUUUGCUGUGAUGAUAAUGGUUGGGCAGAUGCUGCUACUGAGGCUGCUGUCUGUGUUGGCACCACAACUAGUCGAGGUGGGCUUGGUUAUGGGCAGAUUGAUGCUUUGGAGGCACUAGUGGUUGAAGCAGCCAAGAGGAUUGAUCGGCAUUUGAUGGAUGUGAUCCAUAAGCGGUAUCGAUUCAAAGAUCAUUGUCUUGCGAUUAAGAGGUAUUUGCUUCUUGGGCAGGGUGACUUCGUCCAGUAUCUGAUGGAUGUUGUUGGCCCUGAGUUGUCAGAGCCAGCAAAUAGGAUUAGCUCCUUCCAUUUGGCUGGGUUGCUUGAGACUGCGAUCCGAGCAUCUAACGCUCAAUAUGAUGACCGUGACAUCUUGGAUCGCAUAAAGGUAAAGAUGAUGGAUCAUGGAGAUGGUGAUCGUGGCUGGGAUGUGUUUUCCUUGGAGUAUGAUGCUAGGGUUCCUCUGGAUACGGUAUUCACAGCUUCUGUCAUGAAGAGGUACCUCAAGAUUUUUAACUUCCUGUGGAAGCUUAAGCGUGUAGACCAUUCAUUGACUGGAAUCUGGAAGACAAUGAAGCCUAACUGCAUUGUUUCAUCUCCAUUUUACAAGGAGGGAACAAACAUCAGGUCUCAGUUUGUUUCAGUUCUUCGCAAAUGCCAAGUUCUAUUUAAUGAAAUGAACCACUUUGUGACCAACUUCCAGUACUACAUUAUGUUUGAGGUCCUGGAAGUUUCCUGGGCUCGUUUCUCAGAAGAAAUGGAUUCAGCAAAGGAUUUAGAUGAUCUUCUGUUGGCACAUGAUAAGUAUCUCACAUCGAUUGUGGAGAAGUCUCUCCUUGGUGAGAGAUCACAUGGAAUUCUGAGGAAUCUUUUUGCACUUUUUGACAUCAUUUUGCAAUUCCGGAGCCAUGCUGAUCGGUGGUUUGAGCGGAUAUAUGAGUUGCAACUGAGGGGAAAGGGUAAGCCAAAAUCAAAAGCAAAAGCUAAAUCCAAGGAAGUGGAUUCAUGGGUGGAUGGUGGGAGGAAAGCCAUGAUUCAGCUGGCUGGGGAACUUUUCCGGAAAAUGGGUGAAGAUUUGGAUAGCAUCGCGAAAGAUUAUACUUCUUCACUUGAUGCAUUUAUCGCUCAGUUACCUAUGCAACAGCAUGUUGAUUUGAAAUUCCUACUCUUCCGCUUAGACUUCACUGAAUACUACAGUCGUGUUUCGUCUAACAAAUGAAGAUGUGUUCCUGAUGUGGAAAAAGUAGGGAGUUAGAUUUACUCUUUGGUUUGGGGUUUGUGAGGCAUUCUUUUGUACACCUUAGCCCUGCUGAUUGAUAUUUGGUCAUUUGAAAGGCAUGGUCUGCCACUUUCAUUUGUCCUGAACCUCCUGUUGAAUUCACCCUUUAAGAGUUUGCCCACGCAUGCCAUGAAGUUGGAGGCUUGCUGCCAUGCAUUCUGAACAACUAUAGUGUACAAAAUUGAUGUAAGUUUACUUUGGUUUUCACUUUUAGAUGAACUGGUGUACAUUUCAUGCACACAUUUUCCACCCUGAUUUUUUAGAGUUGCAUUGUGUGGGGGCUUCUCCUUACCAGUUUGUAUUCUUCGGUUACAGGAGAAUGAAAAAUCUCAUUUUGCUAGUUGCUGUUCUUUAUCUGGUCAUCAAAAUUGUUGUUAAGUAAUUCAGGAUGCCUAUAAUUCGUUUGUUUGUAUGAACCGUAUCAUUCGUUUCCAAUCUCAAAAUGGCUGUGCGAAAA